UUAUAUUCGGUUAAAGUUUUUUACAAUUUUGAAAAAAAAAACUGGCAUUUUCUUUAGGAACCAAAAUUUGGCCAAAAAAGAGAAUCAAAUUGCGCAUGAAAUAUACUUUGAUGAGAAACAUCAUCUACAAGAAUCACAAUAAAAAGAAUAAGUUUCCUUCUUCUUUAAAGCUUAAUUCUAUUUGAAUCUCACCACAUUUUUUUUUGUAAUUUAACCUAAUUUCAGAGAGAGAGGGAGGGAGGGAGAGAAAAGGCUGCCGCCAUCGCCACUGCCCUCGCUGCCGCAAUCUCUCGCCAACGCCCCUCCCAUCUCUGUCGCCACCCGUUGCUGCCUCCCCGCCCCUUGCUACGGCAACCAUCGCUACCGUCCUGCUCCUUGCUCAGAAGAAGGAUAAGAGCAAUUGAUCUUAAUUUCUUCGGUUCAGCUGAUUCUAUACCUAGGAGUCCACUUGUUUCUUUGCCUUAUGGUGGCAGUCUUGUGUAUUGGUUUCCUUUAAGGACACAGUGAACAGGUUUGCCACAUUCCUUUCUAGUGUCAGUACUUUUUAAGAAGCCUUUUAUUUGUAUGGUAUCCAAGUUAUUCAAUAUUUUAACAUUUUAAGAAGCCAGCUGCCUUGUGUUUUCUAUGUGGAAAAAUUUAAGAACCAUGAACUUUUUCAAGCAUGAGUAUUCUAAAUAGAAUAGUCUCCAAUUUGAAACUCUGGCUAAUUGGCAUCAAUUUAGUUAUAAUAAACUUCUGAUAUUUGUAUGCUAUCGUGUCUCAGUUGAUAAAUAUGAGUGUUUAUUCUUAUCUUAUAUGAUUUAAUAAG